rnacentral:rRNA from 1 species
CGAAGGGUGCAAGCGUUACUCGGAAUUACUGGGCGUAAAGCGUGCGUAGGUGGUUUGUUAAGUCUGUCGUGAAAUCCCCGGGCUCAACCUGGGAAUGGCGAUGGAUACUGGCGAGCUAGAGUGAGGUAGAGGAGAGUGGAAUUCCCGGUGUAGCAGUGAAAUGCGUAGAGAUCGGGAGGAACAUCAGUUGCGAAGGCGGCUCUCUGGACCAUCACUGACACUGAGGCACGAAAGCGUGGGGAGCAAACAGGAUUAGAUACCCUGGUAGUCCACGCCCUAAACGAUGCGAACUGGACGUUGGGCUCAAUUAGGAGCUCAGUGUCGAAGCUAACGCGUUAAGUUCGCCGCCUGGGGAGUACGGUCGCAAGACUG